rnacentral:rRNA from 1 species
GGAAUAUUGGACAAUGGGCGCAAGCCUGAUCCAGCCAUGCCGCGUGAGUGAAGAAGGCCUUAGGGUUGUAAAUCUCUUUCGGCGGGGACGAUAAUGACGGUACCCCCAGACGCAUCCCCGGCCAACCCCGUGCCCGCAGCCGCGGUAAUACGGAGGGGGCUAGCGUUGUUCGGAAUUACUGGGCGUAAAGGGCACGUAGGCUGGCUGUGAAGUCGGGGGUGAAAUCCCGAGGCUCAACCUCGGAAUUGCCUUCGAUACUGACGGUCUUGAGUGCGGGAGAGGUGAGUGGAAUUCCCAGUGUAGAGGUGAAAUUCGUAGAUAUUGGGAAGAACACCAGUGGCGAAGGCGGCUCACUGGCCCGCAACUGACGCUGAGGUGCGAAAGCGUGGGGAGCAAA